CCUUUCAUUCAUUGAUCCAUCUUAUAAAUAGAUACAACUGUUUAAGAGUACAAAAAGUCCUAUUGGGAUGAUAAGUUUUCCAUCAAUAUCUCAUAUACAAGAUAACAAAUAUUUGAACUUAAAUUAAAACAAACUUAAUCUAGUAAUGCUAAGGAGACUAAAUUUAUAAACUAAAUGAUGUGUCACCAAUAAGAAUUAAGCACGUUAAUCAAUGCUUAAUUAAUAAUCCAAUAAUCAACUUCCAUGACAUUUAGUUUACAAAAUUUAAUCUUCCUAAUAUUAUCUUAAUCUAAAACCAUUAUGGACUCAUGUUUAACACCCCCUGCAAACUUGGCAUCGGAGGAUGAACAAGUUUGGAUCGAAGUAGAAGAUGACGAGCCUUUAAAAGACCCUUGGUUAGCAAGUGGGAAGGCUGAUCAACAAAGGGCAAAAAAUGAACUUGAUGGCUGCCCAAGGCCGCUCGUUCUAUAACAAAGUGAUAAUCCAACUUAAUAUGAUGAGUCCUAAACCUGGGUUGCUGCCAUGAAUGUGGUGUUGAGGUUGCUAUAGUAGAGAAAAAUAGGAAAUUGAUCAGCAAUGCCUAACUCAUGAAACAAAUAAGAUAUGUAAUUUCAGCACACGGGUGGGAGAGUGUUUGAUACUCAGACUCAACACUAGACUUGGACACGGUUGGUUAAUUGCUUCUUAGAACACCAUGAACUUAAGUUAUUGCCAAGAUAAACCAAAUAAUUCGUUGUUGAGCGACGAGUAUCAACACAACUUGACCAGUCUGCAUCGAAGUAAGCCGAGAUUCAAGCAUCUAACCAAUUCAAGUAUUUUUGUAACCCAAAAAUAUUUUUUCUAAAAGUGUUUUUAGUUAUUUUAAAAACAUUUCUAAACAAACCCGAAAACAGCGAAUGUGGUAUUGCGGUUGUGGGCCUAUGCCAAUGGGAACAACAGAAAGCUCCACAUAAGAGGACGAGGCUGAAUGGUGUGGCUUAACAUAUGGAAAGUCAGCCUCAUGAAACAUAACAUGCCGAGAAAUGUAAACACGUUCCGAACUUGGAUCAAGUCACUUCUAACCUUUAAGAGAAUCACUAUAUCGAUUCAUCAGUUUAUUAUUUACUUAAGGAACACGCAAGCAACCAAAGGUACGUAAAUGAGUGGAAGAAGAAGAGCAACCAAACAAAAAUGUGUGGGGAGUGGACCAACGAAGUGUAGGUGUAGGAAGGAAAUUGACGAGGUGAACAAAAGUGAGCACGACCUCAACCCAUAAAGUGAGAGGAGCAUAAGCCGCAACAAGCAAAGUCCUAGUCAUGUCAACAGUAUGAUGAUGUUUGAGCUCAGCAAGUCCAUUCUAUUGGGACGUGUGAGGACAUGAAAAAUGUUAUUGAAUACUAGAUCGAUCGUAAUACUCAGAAAAUGAAUGAUUUACGUACUUAGUACCACCAUCACUUUGUAAAUAUUUAAUAGAGGCAUUAAAUAAAUUUUUAACCAUAGCCACAAAUGUUUGAAAAUACGUGAAAACCUUAGAUUUCUUUUUCAUUAGACAAAUCCACGAAUAACACGAAUAAUCAUCGGUGAAAAGUAUUUAAUAAGAUAACCAGAAACAAAAUCAACAGUAGACAUCCACACAUCCUAAUGGAUAAUAUAAAAAGAAGGAACAAUUUCACAUUCAUUAUUCAAUUCAAAAGGAAGCUGUGUGAAUUUUCCUAAAGCACAACUUUUACAUAAGUGACGAGAAACGAUUGAGUUUGAACCUAGACUAGAAUGUAAACGAGACAACACAGAUGCAUACGAAUGACCAAGACGUUUAUGCCAAUCAAUGGACGACGCAGUAAGAGCUUGAGGGGAUUAAAACGACAACGGGUAUAGUCCAUCUUUACAUGGGUCUUGAAAGAGCAACGCACUACUACGUAAAUAAAAAUACGAUAAAAGAGAUGGAAGAAACAAAUGCCACAUUAUUGUCUUACAUAGCCCGAGUAACAGAAAAGAGAUUUUUGUGUAAAGAUGGAACAUGAAAGAUAUUACGAAGAUAGAAAGGUCCAGAAUUAAGAGAAAUAGGAAUCGUACCAGUGAAAGUGAUAUUAAGUGUGUCACUAUUACCCAUUUGACCGAGUUGUGACCAUGAUAAUGUUGUGGAUUUUGAAGAGCACUUGCAUCACCGGUCUUGUGGUGUGUGGCACUAGUGUUAGGAAACCAACUAGGGGCCCCGAUACUCGGAAAGGGAUAAGGACUCUUGAAAUUUGAUCUAAUGGCUAAAGUUAUUAUAAUUUUUAAAGGGGCUCCUUGUUUGUAGUUGUUAGAUCAAAUUUUAAGGGCCCAGAUCCUUUGAUUUGGUAAAUUUGGUGGAAGGGAUCCAUAAAUGAUCCUUUUCCCGAACAACCUGUGAGAGCCUGCAAAGGAAGAAAGUGCAGCGGGGCCUCCAUAUCAAUGUGGACAGGUGGCGGCAGAAUGGUGUGACAUGGAACAAAAUGGGACACGAACCAUCAUUGGUUGGAGAAAUUUUUUAUUAUGACGGGAACACGGGUGGCAUACCACAUGUUUUUAUAUAAGUGAUAGGAAAAUUUAUUUUUUAAGUUAUUAACUUUUUAACACACAUAUCCCACUAUUUGUAUAGUGACAUGUGGUGUACCAUUUUGUGUGUAACGCCCCGAAAAUUCUAAUUCAGAAGCUAAUCACUAGGCAAAAAUUUAUAGCGGAAGAUAACCGUCAAAUUCCUUUCCUUAGACAAUUUUCCAAUAAAAAUUAAUCUCAGUUAAUUUAUUAUGGUUACAUCUAACAUUCUCGUUAGACUGCCUACGUACCCUAUGAAGGGAUCAAGCCAUUCGUAGUCCGUCAUUAAGCUUCUAGAACAACAUCUUUCCACAAAAUUUGCAGAAAAACAACAUUAUUGGACCAAGUUUAGGCUCCCCUUGGAGCAUUCAAAACUAAACCAAAUCGUAUAAUAUUAUAUAGGUUUUGAAGCUUGUGUUCUGUACUUUAAAAGCAUAUAAAGUUUGUAGAAAACGGAGCUCUAAAUUGGAAGUUAUGCCAAAAAGAAAAUGGAGUUUUGAAACUGGAAAUCCAGCUUUCUGCUGCUGUUUGGCAGCUCGCGACCCAAGUUUAAAUAAGGUUUUGUUCAAUCAAAACUCAACGGAACUGAGGGAAAACAAUUGGGUUACGAUCAUGAACUUAUGUACUUUCAACACACUAAAAAUUUCUCCAAAGAAACACAUAAAGACCUAGAAAUUAAUAGCCAAAUUAGGCUACUCGAAACUUGAGUUUUCUUUGCAAAAAAUCAAUUUUUUGCAACUUACGUAACAACCCACUUCCAAUUCAUAUAACAGAUCCCAAAAUAUUUUCAGGUAGUCCAGAAGUCAUGUAUACAACAUCCAAAACUAACAUAACUCAAAAUUAGCAAGAAAUUGUCCUUUUGAACCAAAACCUUGACCAAGAAAUUUGAUCCACACACCCAAUCCGAAUUACCCAACUCUAAUUCACGUUCAGUCUGGUUCAUUGAAUGAUAGAAAACCCUAAAUAAAACUAAGAACUCCAAAUAUAUCAUGGCAUUUUCAAUUCAACUUAGGGAAAUUAAAUUCGAAAAUCAAGAUGAUCAAGGAACAAGGAAUUUACCCUUAAAAGCCCUGAAUCCUUCCUUCAUAAUCACGUUCUCCAUUGUGCUUUUAUGUAUCAUUCUUGUCAACAUCUUCACCUUCAUCCCCUUCACCUUGACCCGUACCAGGUUGCAUCCUCAGAUAACAUUAUCCCUCGUAAUUUCAGCGCCACUCCUUUGAAACCAUCCAAAAGUAGGUUUUAUUAUUCUGGGUUGGCCGGAUAACGUGGCUUUAACGCUAGGUCGGUUGUUUGUGUGUGGUACAAGGAAGGAAAGAGAGGGAUGGAGUGAGAG
rnacentral:lncRNA from 1 species